UACGUAGGCAGCAAGCGUUGUUCGGAGUUACUGGGCGUAAAGCGCACGCAGGCGGUCUGCUAAGUUUGGAGUGACAGUUGGUGGCUCAACCACCAAAGUGCUUUGAAAACUGACAGACUUGAGGGCUUCAGAGGGACACGGAAUUCCGGGUGGAGUGGUGAAAUGCGUAGAGAUCCGGAGGAACACCAAAGGCGAAGGCAGUGUCCUGGGGAGUACCUGACGCUCAGGUGCGAAAGCCAGGGGAGCGAACGGG
rnacentral:rRNA from 1 species